ACGCUCGACACCUACGGGAGCAGCAGUGGGGAAUAUUGCACAAUGGGGGAAACCCGUGAUGCAGCGACGCCGCGUGGAGGAAGAAGGUCUUCGGAUUGUAAACUCCUGUUGUUGGGAAAAGAGGAUGGUACCCAACAAGGAAGUGACGGCUAACUACGUACCAGCAGCCGCGGUAAUCUGAGCGGGCUGGCAAGGC
rnacentral:rRNA from 1 species